UACGUAGGUGGCAAGCGUUGUCCGGAUUUACUGGGCGUAAAGAGCGCGCAGGCGGUCGUUCAAGUCGCGUGUGAAAGCCCCCGGCUCAACUGGGGAGGGUCACGCGAUACUGAUCGACUCGAAGGCAGGAGAGGGUAGUGGAAUUCCCGGUGUAGUGGUGAAAUGCGUAGAUAUCGGGAGGAACACCAGUGGCGAAGGCGACAUCCUGGACCGGCAUUGACGCUGAGGCGCGAAAGCCAGGGGAGCAAACGGG
rnacentral:rRNA from 1 species